rnacentral:rRNA from 1 species
GUGAACGCUGGCGGUAGGCCUAACACAUGCAAGUCGAACGGCAGCACAGUAAGAGCUUGCUCUUAUGGGUGGCGAGUGGCGGACGGGUGAGGAAUACAUCGGAAUCUACUUUUUCGUGGGGGAUAACGUAGGGAAACUUACGCUAAUACCGCAUACGACCUACGGGUGAAAGCAGGGGAUCUUCGGACCUUGCGCGAUUGAAUGAGCCGAUGUCGGAUUAGCUAGUUGGCGGGGUAAAGGCCCACCAAGGCGACGAUCCGUAGCUGGUCUGAGAGGAUGAUCAGCCACACUGGAACUGAGACACGGUCCAGACUCCUACGGGAGGCAGCAGUGGGGAAUAUUGGACAAUGGGCGCAAGCCUGAUCCAGCCAUACCGCGUGGGUGAAGAAGGCCUUCGGGUUGUAAAGCCCUUUUGUUGGGAAAGAAAAGCAGCAGGUUAAUACCCCGCUGUUCUGACGGUACCCAAAGAAUAAGCACCGGCUAACUUCGUG